UAUUCCUGCCACUGUCUCUAUUCCUUCCACUGUCUCUAUUCCUUCCACUGUCUGUAUUCCAUUCGGACUGGGGGGUAUAAUGUGUUAGAAAUCGCUGCUCGGAGGACUGACUUUCAUACGCUGCGAUGGAUCGACACCGAUUCAUUUGUCACCGAUAGCGAAAAGUGAGAUGCCAGUGUCACCAGAACCACAAUUCAAACUCCUCCUCUCUCUUCAUCAACUCUCAACCCGCCGCCGGCGCUGUGCUCUGCCGCGUGUCCGCGUCCUGCCACACUCUGUUAGAACUCCGGCAGAAGACCUUCUGUCAACACCUUCAACACCUUCAACCUUCAGUUGAAGGUGUUGUGAGCGGCUCUGAUUCCCUGUUCAGCGAGCCCAGAGGUGGAGAGACAGCUGCAACCCAGACGGAGCUUUAUGGAGCUGAAGUCACGACUGUGACAGAUUGUUGUUUGCCCUCGUGCUGAACAGCAGUUGUGGUGUUUGUUUAGAGAAACACAAACACCACAACAUGUGACGUGUACUGAGAGACGUCAGUGUGGAGGUUGAGCUGCUCUCACUGUGUCUGCCCAUGUGUUUCCCAUUCGUUUCCCAUGUGUUAGCAUUGGAUACGCGUGUCAUUAGUGGGUGUCAGAGGAGAGAUGGAGGAAACACUCCAACUGCUUUCAGACAAGACAUGCACCGGAGCAAUUCAGGAGAUUCUCCUGCAGGGGCCGUAUGUGAGGACCCAAAUGUCAGGGUGAGGGUCUCAGGACUAUCUCUGGUGUUUCUUCUGCCAGCUUACAAGUACUGCUGCAAUCCAUUAAAGGUUCAGUAUAUAGAGUCUAGUGACAUCUAGUGGGAAAGUUGCAUGUUGCAGCUGAAUACCCCUCACUUGACCCUCAACUUCAAAACAUGCAAGAGAACCUGUGGAAGCUUUCAGUUGUCCUAUAAACUCCGAUGAUGUUUAGUGUUUCCAGUCUAGGCUCCGUAAAGAGAACAAGCUCCAGAUGUAAAUAUAAACUGGGGCUACAUCGUAGCACUAACGGGCCCGAGCACAGGCAAUUCCAAGUCUGUUGCGGUCGGGGAAGAGAGAACGUUCGAUGACCAAGCGCUUGUCUCCACAUUGCCUGCGUUUGCCCUGUGCUGCAAGGAUGAUCGCUCCACUUCUUUUGGCCAGCUGCUGGUGCUGAACUAGAGUUAAGUAACCUUCAAACUAUACAACAUAACCUAUUGCUUUAUCUAUCAUCAUAUGCUUACAUGCCUCAAGUUUUUUGUAAUAUGUAAUUGUUAUAAAAGUUACCGUUUAUUUAUCACGUCUAAUGAACAGAUUGAACAAGUUAACUCCACAGUCUUGUUUUGGUUGUGACUAUAUUUUUUUAAUAAGUUACUAUCAAUACGCUACACGUGUACGUUUCAUGUGAUAGUAACUAUGUUUCACCAAUAUUCUGAUACAGGAUGGUAUAUCCGCCAUUACUAUUUUCACAUCGUUUAUUUAGUCUGUCAUGGAGUUGUAGAGUGAAUUAGACAGUAUAGAUAAGAUUAUAAUGUCCACACAUCAGUGUUGUAAACACUUCUCCAAUUAAUUAUACAAUUAUGUUUUCACACUGAGGGAAGUGGAGAGACUUGAUGUGGACUGUUAUCAACAGCUCUGUGGGAGAUCAUCACCUUGAAUAUUACAGAUGAGGACACACAGAGCAGUGAGCGACCAUGUACGGCGCUUGUGGAGCAGAUGUUGGGGGAGUGACGUGCCUUGCUCAUGGGCACUAGAGAGGAUGAAGAACUGCAGCACCUGAUGUCCUCAGCAGCAACAUGGUGGACAUCUGAUUUGAUACACUUUAGAUAAGAACCCAGUGUUUUAUAUUUCUGCUUUGCCAUAAGAGACAGAACAUGGUCAUCACAGCUGUUUCCUUCAGGCUUGUCCGUCCCUAAUAAAAUGAUAGGAAACAUGAAAGUGAUCGUCAUUAUGUAGAGGAAGAGUUACAUAUGAACAAAGUGUGUAUUCUUAUGUUCUGUGGAUAUUCAACUAUGUAUUUGAAUAUGCUUUUGGAUUAAAACGUGCACUACCAUGACAAUGAAUGUUUAGU